GAUGAACGCUGGCGGCGUGCCUAAUACAUGCAAGUCGAGCGAACGGACGAGAAGCUUGCUUCUCUGAUGUUAGCGGCGGACGGGUGAGUAACACGUGGAUAACCUACCUAUAAGACUGGGAUAACUUCGGGAAACCGGAGCUAAUACCGGAUAAUAUUUUGAACCGCAUGGUUCAAAAGUGAAAGACGGUCUUGCUGUCACUUAUAGAUGGAUCCGCGCUGCAUUAGCUAGUUGGUAAGGUAACGGCUUACCAAGGCAACGAUGCAUAGCCGACCUGAGAGGGUGAUCGGCCACACUGGAACUGAGACACGGUCCAGACUCCUACGGGAGGCAGCAGUAGGGAAUCUUCCGCAAUGGGCGAAAGCCUGACGGAGCAACGCCGCGUGAGUGAUGAAGGUCUUCGGAUCGUAAAACUCUGUUAUUAGGGAAGAACAUAUGUGUAAGUAACUGUGCACAUCUUGACGGUACCUAAUCAGAAAGCCACGGCUAACUACGUGCCAGCAGCCGCGGUAAUACGUAGGUGGCAAGCGUUAUCCGGAAUUAUUGGGCGUAAAGCGCGCGUAGGCGGUUUUUUAAGUCUGAUGUGAAAGCCCACGGCUCAACCGUGGAGGGUCAUUGGAAACUGGAAAACUUGAGUGCAGAAGAGGAAAGUGGAAUUCCAUGUGUAGCGGUGAAAUGCGCAGAGAUAUGGAGGAACACCAGUGGCGAAGGCGACUUUCUGGUCUGUAACUGACGCUGAUGUGCGAAAGCGUGGGGAUCAAACAGGAUUAGAUACCCUGGUAGUCCACGCCGUAAACGAUGAGUGCUAAGUGUUAGGGGGUUUCCGCCCCUUAGUGCUGCAGCUAACGCAUUAAGCACUCCGCCUGGGGAGUACGACCGCAAGGUUGAAACUCAAAGGAAUUGACGGGGACCCGCACAAGCGGUGGAGCAUGUGGUUUAAUUCGAAGCAACGCGAAGAACCUUACCAAAUCUUGACAUCCUUUGACAACUCUAGAGAUAGAGCCUUCCCCUUCGGGGGACAAAGUGACAGGUGGUGCAUGGUUGUCGUCAGCUCGUGUCGUGAGAUGUUGGGUUAAGUCCCGCAACGAGCGCAACCCUUAAGCUUAGUUGCCAUCAUUAAGUUGGGCACUCUAAGUUGACUGCCGGUGACAAACCGGAGGAAGGUGGGGAUGACGUCAAAUCAUCAUGCCCCUUAUGAUUUGGGCCACACACGUGCUACAAUGGACAAUACAAAGGGCAGCGAAACCGCGAGGUCAAGCAAAUCCCAUAAAGUUGUUCUCAGUUCGGAUUGUAGUCUGCAACUCAACUACAUGAAGCUGGAAUCGCUAGUAAUCGUAGAUCAGCAUGCUACGGUGAAUACGUUCCCGGGUCU
rnacentral:rRNA from 1 species